rnacentral:lncRNA from 1 species
CUUAUAUUUUAUGAUAAAUUGUAGACUAUUUCAUAGAAGCUAUUUGAGCUUGAAGACAAAGAAGUGAAAGUACUCAUUGGAAUGCAAACAGAAAUUGAUAGGAGACCUAAAUUAUUGUACAAGUGACUGCUUAAUGGAGGGCAUCGACUGGCAGUAAGGUUUUAUAGUGAGAACACAGUAUUAAGUGCAUUCCAAGACUAGAAUUUGUUAUGCUAUUACGAAUAUAUGUACAC